rnacentral:rRNA from 1 species
UUCGCAAUGCCCGAAAGGGUGACGAUGCGACGCCGCGUGAGCGAAGAAGGCCCUAGGGUUGUAAAGCUCUGUCGAGGGUUAUGAAAUAUAGAUGGGUUAAUACCCCAUUUAUUUGACAGAAGCCCAAAAGGAAGCCACGGCUAACUCUGUGCCAGCAGCCGCGGUAAUACAGAGGUGGCGAGCGUUGUUCGGUAUUAUUGGGCGUAAAGAGCACGUAGGUGGUUUUGUAAGUCAGGUGUGAAAGCCUUCUGUUCAAAGGAAGAACGGCAUCUGAAACUGCAGAUCUUGAGUGUAGGAGGGGAGAGUGGAACUUCUGGUGGAGCGGUGAAAUGCGUAGAUAUCAGAAGGAACGUCGGCGGCGAAAGCGACUCUCUGGCCUAUUACUGACACUGAGUGUGCGAAAGUUAGGGGAGCAAACGGGAUUAGAUACCCCGGUAGUCCUAACCGUAAACGAUGGGCACUAAGUAGAGGGGUUUU